rnacentral:misc_RNA from 1 species
UCCUCCCGCGACACGGCGCGC